GGGAGAGCUGCUCGCCAGGAGCCGGCCCUCGCCCGGCGCCCGAGAGGGACGGGGGUUUUUCCUCUUCGGCAACGCUCCGCUGCCGCCGGCCGCCCAGAUAAGGGGGCAUUGGCAGCCACGGCUCGAGCAAAAUAGGACUCCUUGGAUGAAACCAAAAUAAGCGCCGGGAGCAUUUGGUGAUGUACGUGGGAGGAAGGCACAAGCCACCAAGGCCCCGUUCCCUCCAUCUUGAGCCUUCCGUGGUGAUUUGCAGCAGCACAGGGAAGUAUGAAGCACUGAGGGACUGAAGUCAGUAUUUAAACGGGACUUCAGUGUAAAUGUCUAUCCCAGGUUCACAUCAACAGAGGACGAGGGGUAGAAUAGCAGGAAUACUUAAGGUGCCUAUUUUAAAAGUUCUCUUUUGGGUAUUUUAAGAUUAAGGAGAUAUUUAGAAAAUAUGACUCUCCACAUGUGUUUAUGUUUACGUGUCCUAAUAGAAGAUGACUGUCCGCAUUAUCUUACACGCUGGAUACCUCUUGGGUCAAUCUGUAUCACCUUAGUGAUUUCAGGGGAGCUGUAUUGAUUUAAGUUAGUUAAAGAACUCACCCGGUUAAGUUUUAAAUAAUUGGAAUGAUACUCUCCCUCUUUUUCAGUCAGAUUUGCCCUUCAUGUUACUUGUGUUUCAUAAUCCUCCUAGCUCUCCAUUUCAUCAUUACAAGACCAGCAUCUCUAUCGCAAAAAAAGAGGAGAAAAAAUACCCCUUAAAAGAUAGUCUUUUUACAAUCAGAUUUUCAGAUUUCAGCAAUUAUUUUCAUGUUUAAAUAAAUUUAGGGCACAAGCUCAUCCUAUUUUUUUUAAUAGGCCAAUUUAGUUUCAUUUACUUACACAGGCAUUUUUUUAAAGCUAGAAGCUCUCAGGAAGAGAAUGUGUUCGAUGCACCAGAACCCUUUAGGGUUUUGAUAAAAGACAUUAUAUCAUGAGUAACAUCUCCAGUUCUGUUAUUCUUCUUAUGUAGUAGCGACAAGAUUGAAUCACCAUUUUUAGCUAUUCUUCAGCAGAACUCGUAAUCUAUCAAUGUGUCAGCUCAACAGCAGUUUUCUCUUCACACUAAUGUGAACCAGAAGGUCCAGCUAUCACUGAUUUUGACAAUUUUAUUUUAUCUGAGAUUGCAUGUGUUGCUGAAGUUUGAAGAAAAUGAAUUAUGGAACUUAUUAUAUUUUCCUAAGGAUGUACAAAACAUAAAAUAUGUCAUCUAAAACAUUUUAAACUCAUUUGUACUGGAUAACAUUCCUAAGUUAGGUGUUUCAUAAGCCUUAAGCUAUAAGCACUAGAAAAUAUUCGUGUGCUAAGUAACAAGUAUAAGAUCAAAUGUGGGGCCCAUAUUUUUUGAAUGCCUCAGAUUGCCCUCUGUGUUGUUACAUAAUGCAUCAUAAAGAAAUACGUGCCUUCAUUCUCUUUAAAUCACUCCAGCAUGGAUAGUACUAAGCCUUCCUUCAAGUCCUCGUUAUGCAAGUCCUUGCUACUGUUAAUAGCUGUCACUUUGGCAUGGUUACUUAAAAAACAAGGUAACCGCAGAGUUUUUGUGAAGCUCCUUGCAUUUCUGGAAUUUACAAUGAGUCAGUUCCAGGUGCUUUGCUCCAUUUCUUAACUAUAAACCAAAUUAUUAUAAGCAAACCAGGAUUUUUUCCCCAUUCCAUUCCACUGUAUCACAAGGUAAUCAGUUUUUUUGUUUAGUUGCUUCUGCAAGCAUAUAUUAUGGGUAUCUGAAUGCACUUCUCCAGUGUCAAAAUACAGUGGAAUAGACCAGAAUAGAGUAAUAUUUUGAAUGUCUGUUGAAAAAUGCAGGCAUAUAACUACGUACUAAAAAAUGCAUAGAAUAGGAAAAAUCCAUGACCAAUCUAGCAAAGCUAUUGGAUAACAAAAAAUCCAUAUAGGCAUUAAGUACUAUUAUUUAAAGUAAAAAUCUGUGUUACACAGUAUAAGCAGCAUUCAAGUGAAAUUGAUGAGACAUCUGUAUAGAACAGAAAGAAUAAUUUUUUAAAGCUAUGAUAUUAUGACGUUUGUAUUUCUUUACUUGGGAAGUGGAAUUUUCCUUGUCUUUUCAUAAAGGCAUAAAAUUAACAACAAGCCCUUCAGAGAAUUAGGUGCACUGCCUGGUUUGUGGUUUUUUUCCUUUACUGAACAUAGAGAUCGUUGGUGGAAAAAAAUGCGGAGGAACCUAUCUGGGUUUUCCCAUAUCAUGGAGAGCUUUCCACGGAGCCUGUCCUUUAGUAAGGCCUCGGUUUUAAAGAUACUGAAAUAGGAAUAUCUCAAAAUUCAUAAUACUGACUAUAUAAAGAAACAUUUUGCUCUCAGUUUAUGCUUGUAGAAGUAUACAAGUAGUAACUCGGUGAUGUAUCACCAGAAAAAGGAGGGUUUUGUUUCAUAUUCUAUGAGUAGAUCUAUUAGUGUAACAAACCUUUAUGGCAUUUUUACUUUUUUUUUUUUUACCUUUUUGUUGCUCUUAUAAAUUUGGGGUGCUGGCUUAUUUGUUUACUUCCCUUCUCCUACUAUUAAUUCUUUUCAAAGGUUCAACUAUAUUCUGUUCGGGUUUUGGUACAGCACAUGGAAAAUAUUUUCUUCAUUCCUUUUGCAAGCAGUAGGUUGGUGGGAGGAGGUCUGCACUGUAAAAUAGUAUACCUACUAAAUUGUACUCCAGUGGGAGAUUAAAUAAGAAAGAGCAGAAUGGCUGAGACAAGUCAUUCGUCACAGAUGUUCAUGCAGUUCUGUGUUUUGUUUUAAGCUGGAUUCAUCAAACACGAUAAGGAGUAAUUUCUGUCUAAUAUGAAGUUCCCAUCCAAGGAGACUAAGUGGGUUAAGUUUAAACGGUGGUUUGAAAAUAGGGGGAAAUGGUACUGGGCUCUUGAUGGCUUGAUUCGGUAGCCAAAGUGGACACAAGGAAUUAAAUUGGAGAAUGCUAUUUUUGCGGUGUCUAAAAUAUGUCAAUUCAGAAGUAAGAAGGAAAAUGCAUCACAAAUAUAUUACUAUGGAGCAGAGUUACUUUAGCUACAAGAUGCUUCUGCCUAUAAAGCGCAAAGAUUUUACCAUAGAAGUCUGAAUACGUAGAUUAUAAAGGGUACCGACGCUGUCGGAGAGCAGGCAUGAAAUGUUGAUGUGAUAACGUCUCAUAUUUAAGUGGCAUUUACUGACUGCUUUUACAUUCUAAAAUAAGUUUAGUAAUAAAACUUAGUGAAAAUGUACAAGAUAAGCACUAGUGUAAUAUUUAUUUCAGGUUUUUUUUAGAUAGACUGAUUAACAUAUUUAAUAAAGUAGAAUACGAAUGAGAAGGCCCAGGACUAAGGUUACUUUAAAAGGGGAAUUUUAAAAAAUGAGUAUCAGACUGAUUCUUAGUUUUUAUUAGUUACUAUCUCUUUUAAUAUAUUUUUCCCUUUUGUAAGUCCUUAUCUGUCACUAUUCCUUCAGAAAUACUGUGCCCCUGCCCCAAAAGGGAGAAAUAUAAUGUCUGCAAUUAGCUUCUGUUUACUGGAGCAAAAUGAUUUUUUCCCAAACUGAAAUAUAUGCAUUAAUUUCCUAGAUUUCCAGCUAUUUUUACCUAUGUUAUAAGUGAUAAAUGGGUAGUGGUGUCCAUUUUAAUGCAGCUUACUGCAGUAUAGCAGCUGUAAUCUAGCGUUUUUCUCUUUGGAAGUCAGAUACGCAGAAUUGUCAGCCUGUUUGCUUUUAAGAACCUGAAAACUGAAUUGGAAAAAAAUAUUUUUGAUAGAAUAAGUUUGGCUUUUCAGUCUGUACUUCCUUUUGAGUUUUCUAAGUAAACGCUACAUAGACUGAUUAUCAGAAAAAUCGAGGCUUACAUAAUCAAGCCAUACAUUUUUCUACUGCCUCCCUUCCCCCACAUAGCUUUCAUUUUACUCUGAGAAAUUUUUAAUAGAAAAUUACUAUGGGAUGCUGAUUAUAUACACAUUUCCAUGAGACUGCAUAGCUAAGCUAUUUAUAUGUAUUUAGUAAAAGAAAGCAAUAAACAAAAUUUUAGAACCUUGAGAUGGCUAAACUUUAAAAUUACAGUAAUCAUUAAGUACAGCUUUGUACCUAGCUGUGUAGCAUGGAGUCUUUUUUCUUUGCAUGGGGAAUUUGGGUACUUCUCUGUGUUCCUCAUUCAGAAUAAGAAAAAUGAGAACGUCGUACCCCAUUUUUUUUAACUCGUCGCAAAGCCGAUGCUCCUUCAUGAGGCAGGCAGUUUUAAUACCCAGCUUCCAGAGGGUGAGCAGUGAUUGUCGUUGGCAAAAUAUAUAGCAAAUGAAUCAAAACUCUGUCCUGCUAGAAUAAUUACAAAUUGAAUUAAUUACCAAGAAUGAUAUUAAAAUUUUAUCAAAAUAUGCUAACAUGAACUCUUACCCAUAGGUGGCAGUCAGCUUUCACUGUAGUAGGGAUGCCAAACUUUUGCUUCGUGGUAUUCAUACUUAUGCUGGAAUAAUGUUGAUGGCUCUGCAUAUGUGCGUGUACAUAAGUAUAUACAUACCUGCGUGUUGGGAGAGGUGGAAGGAGGUAAAAUUUACCCUAAAAUAAAUUAGUAAUUAAGAGGAUUCUGAAUUGCUAUAUAUAAGCAAAAGAAAUUAUCUUAUUCUGGAGCAAAGGCCCAGGUAUUAAUUUUUAAAACCACACAAAUAAUUUUUUAUCUGUCCAUUGCUGAUGCUCAUAUAAAAUAAGAAGUGAUAAUUCAGAAAUGUGCUGGUGCCCCUAGAAACUGAGCAGAGAGGGAAGUAUCUCACCAGCCUUAGAGAACAUGACCCCGUACCGUCCCCAAUCCUCCAAAUUGCAUUUCUAUUUUGUCACCCCUUAUCUGUAAAUUACAGAAGAGCCGCAGUGACGACACUCUGCCCUGGGAACCCCAGCAAUAAGCUCCCUUAAACAUCAAGCUCAUACAGAAGAGGUGCUCGGGGUGAGGGUGUCCUUUCAGCCACGGAGAGCGAGCAAAACCCGUGGGGCUGGGGUUCUCCUCCUCUAUGCAGAGCUGCCAUCGACAUCUGUGGCAGUGCCACGCAAGGGGAGGACGCUGCCUGCCAGAGCAGAGAUCCGCUCCAUUUCGCCCUCAGCUUUUUGGGGGCUUUCCGAGGUUUAUGGGGAUUUCCUUUUGCAAUAUCGCUAAGGAGGCACUUGGGACCCCACCAAAACUGGAGGGGAUAGAAGGAGCUAAUGAGGCCAAGUCAUCUCAGCCUAAAACAAACAGAACUUGUGAAACUGCACACAUGACAUACUAAGACGAUAGAGCUCUUACAGGGAAAUAAGACCGAAAACUGAAAUUCAUGAGUGAGUAAAGUCAUAUUCUUUUUACUAUUAUAGCCACACCGGGAGUCUUUUCAGUUAAGGUUAAUUUAAUAUAGUGUCAAGGUAGGCUGUUUAGCAGAGGUCAGGAACUAGCAUUUUACAAAAUGGAAAAUUGGAAAAAUACACAAUUAUGUGUUGCUACUCCAAUGUUUCGCUGUGAUGCAAGAUUAAGGGCUCAGAAUAGAGUGGAAUGGCGCAGUAUUAUUAAAACAGAAGGCCUAAUUCUCCUUAUGCAAGAGUCGCAGCAACACACAUAGUUGUAUAAGCCAGAGCAGUCAGUAUGAUUUCAUAGUCAAAGAGAGUAUUUCCACAUACACUCCACCACGACGUGACUAAUUAGAUACUUGCAUGUACACGGACCCAUUUGUUCCCCAACUGUAAUAAUCAGGAGGAUUGCGCUCCACGUUAAUUCACACUCUUGUGUAACACUACUGAAUACAAGAUAGCAGGUGAUGAUAAACUGGCUGGUGACAAACAUGUAAAUUUUAUGUGAAUUUUGAAAACCAAGGCUUUCAUAGUCAGCUCUGACGGUGACGUAGGCAAGACUGGAGAAGACCUCCUCAGCCCUGGGGCCAGCCAUCGCAUCUGUGCCCCAGCUAUUGCAGGCAGCCCUGUUGCACUAUUCAACUGAUUUGCAGAGAUAUCAGGUGCCAUCUUGAAGGUACUCACCCAUGUCAUGAGGUUGCUCCUUAUUUUCUCUUCCUCUGAAUGGUUAAAGAUUUCAGAUGAUGUGUAUUCAGCACCAGAUUUCACCAUAUUCAACAUUCUCAUGUUCUGUGGGGUCUUUGACUUCAGUUUAAAGAGCAUUUCUCUCUCACGGUGUAAUCACAGAAUAGCAGGGGUUGGAAGGGACCUUUGGAGAUCAUCUAGUCCAACUCACCUGCCAAAGCAGGGUCACCCAGAGCGGGUUGGACAGGAACGCAUCCAGGCAGGUUUUUAAUAUCUCCAGAGAAGGAGAUUCCACCAUCUCACCAGGCAGCCUGUUCCAGCGCUCUGCCACCCUGAAAGUAAAAAAAUUUUUUCUCAUAAAGUCCCUUUCAAUCUGUCACCCCUUGAGCUUUUGUAGGUUCCUGCCAAAACCUGCUCCUCCAUGGUUCAGCCAAAGCAGCUGUGCUACACCUGUCACAGAGAAGGAUGCCUUUCCCCACCAUUCCUUUAGCCCUCCUUUGUAUCUUUUCCAUUUCCAGUAGAUCUCUUUUAACAUGCAGGUUUAGAAGUAGACACAGUUCUUCAAAUAAUAUGUCAUCAGGGCCUCUUGUGGUGGCAUGAAUACCUUCCUAUCCCUGCUAGAUAUACAGCAACUAUUAUUUUGAUAUCUUUUAACUUUUAUAUUCAGAGCUACCUGCUAUCAACAUCUCACAAGCCUUGAGGACUGCCCGAAGCACCCAACAUACCCUUUUUUUAUGGGUGCUGAUAGCAAAAGUUCUUGUUGUUCGUUCCUGGUUUAUGACUGUGAACUUUGCACUGUUAUAGUGGUAUUGCAUGGCAAGGGUGUCAAAAGGCUUUUUAUAAGAAGAGUGUCAUCAGUUUCAUCCAAGCCACGGGCUUCCCCUGAGUUUCCUGGCAUGUCCAGAUUUGUUCAGGAAUCUCUACGCUUUUGCACGACUAUAGACGUGAGCUGGCACAUGCACGUGACACGGCGCAGGGCUCUGCAGGUGAGCUACCUUGGCUCGUGGGACAGAGGUGUCUCCAGUAUUACCUUACCCCAGGCACAUCGUGGUAUGUUAUUUCAGGUUAGCCUUCAGGAAGUCACGCAGUGCUUGUGACUCCAUAUCCUGCACUGGCCUCACUUGACAGCUCUGGGAGCAAGAGACCAAAUUCUGAAAUAUUUUUCCAGGAUCAACAGAGGAGAAGGAUUGAGUGUCACAUUGUAUUGUUUCUAUUGAUCUUGUAGGUUAAUCUCCAGCUUACAGGUUAUGCCUGUGAGAUUGAAGGGAAAGUGGGAUGUACAAGCGUUGUGUGGCACUCUUGAAUAACAUGUUAAAAAAAAACAUUUUUUUGUAAUAGAAGAAUCUGGAGGCCUUUCAGUGGCCGUGUUUCUGGAAGUUAAGAAACAUUAUGACUGUCUCAAAUUAAACAAGCAAAAAUCUAUUUUUCUUUCUUCUCUUUGUCUUCCAUUGGAACUUUCUGUAUGAAAUUUGUAUUGUGGCAUUUUUAUAUAGCAAUUUUAUUUUAUAUGUUUUACUUCUGUGCCUGCAGGACAGCUAAGAAACUUGACCACUGUGGAUUAUCUUUAUAAUGAAAAUACCAUCCUGAAGAACUUUCGCUAGGUUUGGUGUAUGCCAGCUUCCGGGAUACUGGGUCAAGUUCAUCAUGUAAAAUUACUUUUGUCCCCUUCAUUAUAUGAUACUUCAGCCCCACUUUGUGCAAACAGUGCCCCAGCUUUGUAUCAUCAUUCCUCGAUUAAGGUAGUCAGUGAAAAUCACUCAUAAGAUCUGUCUGGGAUCAUUCUUUAAGGAAGUCCACUAGCAACUUCCCUCUGGCUUGAGACUUUCCCUUCAAAAUUACUUCACAAGUUUUUAUUCAUUUUAAGAGUUAAUUUAGCAAUUGUGGUCUUCCCUACUUUUUUUUUUUUUUUCAAGUAGCGUAGUAACAAAUGUUUCCCUGAAAUCCAAUCAGAUUAGGUCAGCUCAUUUCCUUGAUGUAAAAUAAAGUAGGGUUUGAUGUUUUUUUUAAGUGUCUGGCUAGUGUGCCAUAAUCUAUUCUUAGGAAAGCUUUGUGGUGUUUGUCUUAUUUUCUAUUUAUCCAAUUUUAUCCUACGCUUCCUUGCAUCCAAGUUCUUGGUGGGCAGUCCCAGUUUCUUCCCCUUUUAAACUCUGAUUACUUCUAAGUCCUGUAUGAAGUGGCUGCUCUUCCACUUGGAUUCAAAGACCAACCUGUACAAGUUUUCCCACCCAGAAAUUAAAAAAGGCAGAAUGAAACUUUUUUUUUUUUUUUUUUGUCAUUUCACCUCCAUCUAAAGGAUUCACGAAGAAGCUCACUCAGAGAUGGUGACAAAACAUGGAUUUUCUUGGAGUCUUCAGCAUGUAGCUGGGAAGACCAUACACAUAAGAGUCUCUACAUCCUGCAAUUUACCGCUCCACGACAUUCCCACUUGGAGGGCUUGUCAUUUCUUAAAGUCUUAAAAAGAAAGUGAACAUAACUAAACAACUAAACUAAACAGCUUGGUUAAGGUUGCUACAGGUUAAAAGGCAUCUUUUAAAAACCUGAAGUUAUACCCAAAUGAAGAAAACGGAGAAAAACAUUUAUCUAGCAGAUUAGAUGUGUAAAAACACAAGUGUAUUAAAAAAUGAGUUUGAGGGAAAAGCCCAGUGGCUCACAUGGCAGAAAUCUUUAGCAAUGGCUCUAGAGAAAGAUACAGGUGACCACGGACCAUUAGGCCUGGUGACCAAGCCAGGUGAAGUACAGAAAAUAAUUAGUGAACAAAAGGGUAACUAAGUGUGACUUUGGGAAAGAAACAGGCAGCUUUUUUGAAAAGAAGCGAUGCCCCACGAGUCCCUCUGUACGGGGAGAGAUCUGGCCAAUACACCCCCAAGGAAUAAAAAAAAAAGACAUCUGACAUCUUUUAGCAAAGACUCUCAGAGAAAUUAAGCUGCGCGGGCUUCUCACGUGGACAAAUAACACAUGAAAGGACGGGAAGGAAAGGACAGAAAUGAGUGCUCCCUUGUCGUGGUGGUGGGAGACAAAUAGAGCCCCUCGGCCAGCGUUAAUUACACAGCGAGCUCAGAAAUGUUCUGGGGAGGGACAUGAAUAAAGGUUGCAGAGAUCACUGUCAGCACGGAGACAGGAGGAGGAGGGAGGACACCCCGAAGCUGGGUGAGCGGGCAGCACACCAGCAGACGAACCUGGGUGUAGGUGACUGCAGUGUGUUACUCGGGGGGGGACUGGGGGGUCUCAGCUGGCUGCUACCCCUCCGGAGCAGCCUCCUGGGGCUGUUCGAGACCCUGCUGAUGUACUUGGAGACAACACUUCCACGAAAACAUCCAUGCGCUGCUUGGCAGUGGCUCAAAAAGCAAGCAAAACGUUAGGAAUUACAAAGAGAGGGACAGGGAACAAAACAAAACAACACAAAACAAAACAACAAAAAGAAAAACCCCAACCAAAACCAAAACAAACAUGAUUAUGGUGCUGCGUAAAACUUGUCUGCCACUUUCCAAGUCUUGCACAUGUUUCUCUGGCCCGGCUGCCUUUAGCUUAAAUGCAUAGCAACGUGCUUGUUUAAAAAACAUUGCAAAAUCAAAGCUAGAAAGCCAGUAUCAGACAAACAAACAAACCCCACUGUACUAAAAGAAAACAACGGUUUGGUUCAUGGGCUUCUCCCCCACGAGGAAAGGCCACAAGGAAAUGAAGCACCAGAGGGUAACUGUGGCACUGCUGGAAACACGCUAAGGAGCGGUGGAGGCGAGUAUGUAGAAUAGUCUGAUGAUGCUUUCACCCUCAUUUGCACAUCACUUCCCUUAUUUUAUCCUUCUAGAGCAAAUCUAGUAAUAAAGCAGUAAAGAGUGAGCAGGAGAGAGCGUUGUGGCCAGGACGGCAACACACACACAAAGACUGGGAAGAGAGAUGUGAUGGCAGAGUCUGUUGACAUGUUUUCCUAGAUGAGGCAACUGGGAAUACCUCAGAGAUCAGGGUUAUUUAAUAUUUUUAUUAAUGACCCUGUACCAACAACCUGUGUAUGAGCUGUACUGGUGAAAUCUGCCAACAAGGCAAGAGCUGGGAGUUCGCGGUGGGUACCUGUUAUGGUGGAAGUGACAGGCUGUGUCCACUGCUUUAAUAAAAGCAGGUAAAAAUGUAAUUAAAACCCAUUUUUGCAUGCUAAGGAACUAGUAUGAGGCUCAACUACAGAUGGGAGCUUAGGAGUGAGACUCUCCAAGACGUGAGGGUCUGUGAAGGUCACAGGAUGACCUUGUGGGGCACAGGAGUGAUGCAGUGGGGAAAGAAGCAAACACAAGCGUAGGGCAUAACAAGUGCAGAUGAGGGAUUUCCAGAAUGGGUACUGCUUUCCAGACCACAUGGCAUCUGCGAUACCAUUCGUGAUUCAGGUCACCUGUGCUUGGGGAACGUGAAACGAAACCGGGUGCAGAAAGCUCUUCAGGACAAGAUGGAGCUCGUCUGGCAAGAACUGGUUAAAAACGGGUUGCAUUCAUUAACCAAAGGUGGACGGGGAGGGGAUAUUUCUUUGGAAGGGCUUGUGAUCUCCGACUCCCACGAGUGGAAGUCUGAAGGGGAGGAGGAAGAGGGGCUGGAUGCGCUCUCCAGCCCCUCCGCAAGGCACGGAGAGUGACUGUGGGACGGGGUGUUCAGCCCAGGGGUCUGCCCUGUGCGUGAUGGAUGGCGGCAUUUCUCACCACUGCACGGCGGCAGCAAACAUUUUUAAGCGUGGCGAUCAAUUUUGUUCUCCAGCAUCUAAUUGAACAUCAGUAAAUAUGUUAUUAAGAUGCUUGACAGUGUGCUCUUCUGCAAUCAAGGCCAAGAUGUAGCCAGAUACUCAUCUUAAUCUCUCCAGACACAUUUCUAAUGAAUUUUUACGGUGCCUAGAGGAAAGGUCCCUGGUCUGAACUGGGAUACCUGGGUGAUAAAAGCAAAUUAUAAUUAAUAAUAUAUUGUGUUUAUGGUGUCAGAUUGUCAUCUAAAGACAGUGGUAAAAUCUUGUAGUAUAGGCUACUGCUAGAAUCCUAUUAAUAAAACUGCUUACUUUAAAUCACUCCCAAAGCGUAAAGUAGGAUGUUUCUUUGUUGACAGUGCUUUCUCUUGAAUAUUUAUAUUUAACUCCCUAUUUAUGAUCUAUCAAGAAACCACCCAAUAGUGAUAGCAACUGUAUUUUGAAAUAUUCCGUCGUGUUGCAGUGGUUUUGUUAUCAUUCUGUCCUAUGAAGAUACGGAUAAACUUCCUUUCUGCUUAGCAGAAAUAUGGCACAAGGUCAAGGCUCUAUACCCAGUGCAGAGCACAACUAGGGAAGAGACCUAGAACUGCUUAGGAUUAGUAUACUGUCUCCUACACUACUCAGUCCUCUUUUUCUUUAGGUAAUCCAUCCACACUUUUACAAUGGCAACAUUUUGAUCUUCUGUUUUCUGCUGGCCUGGUGGAGCUUCUUUACUCCUUUUUUUUUUUUUUGAGUAAAAUUUACAAAUUUUACUCGAAAAAAUCUGCUGACUUCUUCCAUGUAUGAAAGCCAAUGCCAGCAGCGCAUGCUACACAAACAGAUUCUAGUUCUCAUUGAAAUUCACAUUUCUAGUCAAUCUAAUUUUACUACGAAAGCAUUUUGCUUUCCUUUGCCUCCUAGAUUUUCUUAUUCUUUUUGAACCAUUCAAGCAGAAAAGAUGGAAUCCCUGGCCCCAUUGCAGUGCUGGAAAAUGUGCGGAGAACUACACUGAAAAGAGGGCCUCAGGUGUUCCAAGCUCAAAUGAAAGCUGUUUGGGUCAUGUAGUUGGCUUUGAGCAGUCUCGACAUUUUAGCUCAGAAAACUACGUAACCAAUCUAGAAAAAAAAAUCCAUUUAUCACCUUGUGCAGUGUAAUCACAAAGGGUUUGCGUAAUAAUAAUAAUAAAAAGACUGAAUUAUGAA